GAUGAACGCUAGCGGCAGGCCUAACACAUGCAAGUCGAGGGGUAACUUAGUUGAUAGCAAUAUUAAUUAAGCUAGACCGGCGCACGGGUGCGUAACACGUAUGCAAUCUGCCUUAUACUUGGACAUAACUCCGAGAAAUCGGUGCUAAUUUCCAAUAACACUAUAGAGUGGCAUCACUCCAUAGUUAAAGCUCCGGCGGUAUAAGAUGAGCAUGCGCCCAAUUAGCUAGUUGGUGAGGUAACGGCUCACCAAGGCUACGAUUGGUAGGGGUUCUGAGAGGAUGAUCCCCCACACUGGUACUGAGACACGGACCAGACUCCUACGGGAGGCAGCAGUGAGGAAUAUUGCGCAAUGGAGGCAACUCUGACGCAGCCAUGCCGCGUGAAGGAUUGAAGGCCCUAUGGGUUGUAAACUUCUUUUGUAUGGGAAAAAACGCUUCUACGUGUAGAAGCCUGAUGGUACCAUAAGAAUAAGCACCGGCUAACUCCGUG
rnacentral:rRNA from 1 species